ensembl:lncRNA
CUCAUUUCUGACACCAGUGGAGCAAAUGUUAAUGAAUAUGGGGCCACAUAGCAGAGCAAGGGGAACUUUAGGUCUCAGAGCGAGUGACAUGACCUGAUUGAAACGCUUUUAACUCGGUUACACAUGCACAUGUAUUAGUGAUCCUAAUAUUGGGCCUAAGCUUUCAUGGCUAACCAUCUAACAAUUCGUGUUUGGAAGUGGCUUGAUCAGGACUGUGCUUCUGAAACUCUACUUCAUUCAACAGCUUUCCAAGCUGGAGUGAGUAGCUUGGCAAAAUAUGAUUGGAAAUCCAAAAGCAUUAUUCUUCAAUGGAUGAAGUGGAACUAAAGGAGAUUGUGAUUGACAUCAAAUCUAGAUGGCCAGUGCUGUUCACAGACAGAAAAGUUGCUCUGGAGUUCAUGAGACUGACUGGUGUCUGUGGACCUCAAGAAGACAUUUUAUGAAGGCCUGGACAGUCUUGACAAAGACAGUUCCAAUCAAAGGAAGAGAAACGCUGUGCUCCGAGGCUUGCCAUACUUCCUGCGAGAAGACCCUACCAAUUUUUUUUAAGACGUGAGAAGACAACUGAUUCUGAGGAAGGCACCCGCGGAGUGAAAAUCGGUGUCGUUGUGGAUGGAGCUGAAGCAGGUGACCCAAUGCCAGCUCAUGUGGGUACAUGAGCUUCACAAUGUCCCAAAUGCCUUUGCCACUUUGAUUGGACUUCUUUAAUGUCUGAAUAUGGAUUACUCAAAAUGUUUGAGGUCUACUUUUGAGGUAGUUCAGAAAAUAUUCUUGAAGAUUGGUGCAGAAAACUACAGCAAAGGUCCAUAGGCUGAACCGUCUUCUUCAUUAAGACAACUAAUUAGUGUGUUUUUGUUUUACUCGCAGUAGUUGAGUUCAUUCCUCGGACAACGAUGCUGUUAUUUGCCUAAAUCUUACAAAUCUCCGUUUUGGGAAGUCUUAAGUUACCCUAUUUUUAUGUGUGACCUUCAGUCUACAAACUGAAGGUCAAAAAAGUGCAUUCUGAAAAUGUUUACACCAUGUUAGAUUUUUUCACACUCAACACCAACUUGUCAUAUAAACCGUUCUGAAGGUUGUCAUUUCUCAGUGUUUUAAUUUUUAUUUACCGUGCCAUAACCAUGUUUCAAUAGUUCCAUUUACAAGUGUAUGGGUUUCUUGGACAGUAAAAAAAAAAGUUUGACAAAACAUUUAUCUUUAUAAAAAAAAAUCUUAGGUGAUAUUGGUUAAGACCAAUUAGUGACAGCAGAAUUUGGAUUCCUGUUUAAAUGCACCCAAAGACAUGCACCUAAAAACAUGCAUUGUUAGAUUUUUUUUCUCUCAUGACAAUCAAAAUGCGUUCUAGGGAACAAUACAUCGUUGCAAAUGUAUUUGUUUGUUAAUACAUAGUGUAAUAAAUGUUCUGA